rnacentral:rRNA from 1 species
AUUGAACGCUGGCGGCAUGCCUUACACAUGCAAGUUGAACGGUAACAGGUCUUCGGACGCUGACGAGUGGCGAACGGGUGAGUAAUACAUCGGAACGUGCCCGAUCGUGGGGGAUAACGAGGCGAAAGCUUUGCUAAUACCGCAUACGAUCUACGGAUGAAAGCGGGGGAUCUUCGGACCUCGCGCGGACGGAGCGGCCGAUGGCAGAUUAGGUAGUUGGUGGGAUAAAAGCUUACCAAGCCGACGAUCUGUAGCUGGUCUGAGAGGAUGAUCAGCCACACUGGGACUGAGACACGGCCCAGACUCCUACGGGAGGCAGCAGUGGGGAAUUUUGGACAAUGGGCGAAAGCCUGAUCCAGCCAUGCCGCGUGCAGGAUGAAGGCCUUCGGGUUGUAAACUGCUUUUGUACGGAACGAAAAGCCUCUUUCUAAUAAAGAGGGGUCAUGACGGUACCGUAAGAAUAAGCACCGGCUAACUACGUG